rnacentral:rRNA from 1 species
UAGGGAAUCUUCCACAAUGGACGCAAGUCUGAUGGAGCAACGCCGCGUGAGUGAAGAAGGUUUUCGGAUCGUAAAGCUCUGUUGUUGGUGAAGAAGGAUAGAGGCAGUAACUGGUCUUUAUUUGACGGUAAUCAACCAGAAAGUCACGGCUAACUACGUGCCAGCAGCCGCGGUAAUACGUAGGUGGCAAGCGUUGUCCGGAUUUAUUGGGCGUAAAGCGAGCGCAGGCGGAAUGAUAAGUCUGAUGUGAAAGCCCACGGCUCAACCGUGGAACUGCAUCGGAAACUGUCAUUCUUGAGUGCAGAAGAGGAGAGUGGAACUCCAUGUGUAGCGGUGGAAUGCGUAGAUAUAUGGAAGAACACCAGUGGCGAAGGCGGCUCUCUGGUCUGCAACUGACGCUGAGGCUCGAAAGCAUGGGUAGCGAACAGGAUUAGAUACCCUGGUAGUCCAUGCCGUAAACGAUGAGCGCUAGGUGUUGGGGA